rnacentral:rRNA from 1 species
UGUUUUUAUUAACAGCUGCGGUAAUAUGACUGUGCAAAGGUAGCAUAAUCAUUAGUCUUUUAAUUGGGGGCUGGAAUGAAUGGUUUGACGGGGGUUAGCUUUUUAUUGGUUGAAAUUUUUUGAAUUUUAGUUUAUUGUGAGGACGCGAUGGUGUUUUAGUUUGACGAGAAGACCCCGUAAAGCUUAUGUAUUUUACUCUUUGUUUGGGUAUUGUUUGUUUUGUUGGGGCAACAUGUGUUAAUUAGUAGUAGUAUUUAGUUGUUGGCUUAUUAUUUAAACUUUUAUUGAUCCGCGGUUUGUGAUUAUUAGAAAAGCUACUUCGGGGAUAACAGCGUUAUCAUGUUGGAGAGCUCUUAUCGAUAGCGUGGUUUGCGACCUCGAUGUUGAAUUAAGAUUCCACUGGGCUGUAGUGGGUUUGUGUGGGGGUCUGUUCGACCCUUAAAUUCUUACG